rnacentral:rRNA from 1 species
AGAACUAUCUUAGUGGCGGACGGGUGAGUAACGCGUGGGCAACCUGCCUCAUACAGGGGGAUAACACUGAGAAAUUGGUACUAAUUCCCCAUAAUAUCUGAGACGGCAUCGUUUUGGGUUGAAAACUCCGGUGGUAAAAGAUGGGCAUGCGUUGUAUUAGCUAGUUGGUGAGGUAACGGCUCACCAAGGCGACGAUACAUAGGGGGACUGAGAGGUUAACCCCCCACAUUGGUACUGAGACACGGACCAAACUCCUACGGGAGGCAGCAG